CAUGAGCUCACAGUGGAGGGGCUCACAAGCUGAGUGAGGAUGAUGGGGAAGCUGGCACAAGAAGCACCAGAACCAUGCCAAUGCCACCAGUCCUUGGAGGAACAUGGCCUUCCACUCAGUCUCUUUCUCCUCUGAGCUGUGGGAAGAGUGAGAAGAUGAGUUACUGGUGUAAGAGCACUGCUUGUUUUGACAACGUGACAUACGUGCAAGACAGUAAAGGUGACCAAAGUGGCCUCAGUUACUCAGUUACCAGUGUCCAGACAUGCCAGGCUGCCUCCCUGCAGCAGGGUGUGUGCUGCCACCACCCUCCUGCCUUGCCACCAAGGCUUAGGAGUCCAAGAACGAGCAACAGGUUCUCUCCUGGAUUUCCAACAAGUAAGCUGCAGCUAUCCCUCAGGUGUGUGCUUUGCUGCCCCGUUCUCUGACUCUGAAGCCAGGGAAACAUGGCAGGAGAAACACUCAGCGAUGAAGCUGCUGGAUCUCAGUAUAAGGGUCCCAGGCACUUCACAAUGCACCAACAUACAGGACUUCCACAUGACUGAGGCAUUUGUGUCAGGGCCCCAGGAAACCUCUACCCUCUGUCUCAGCUGCCACUGCCUAUGGAUCCCCACCUGAGCAUUGCUGAAGGUGCUGCUGGGCUGUGAGGGCUGUGUGAGGACAGGCACAUCACACAUGGCCAGCACUGUGCCAACCUGCUUGCAAGAAACUUCUCUCUUAGCCAGUAGACCUGCAGUCUGUCCUCUGGCUGGCUCUUCCAUGGAGGUUUCCAACAAGGAGAGUGCUUCAGUGCUGGAGCCAGCUUGGAGCAGGUGCUCCAUGGAGAUCUGACUCAGACAUGCAGGUUGCCAGAUACCCACCAGCUGCCAGAGUAUUUCAGUCAUUAAUAAUGGCAGGAUUAAAUGAAAAGUAUCAACAGUGUUUCCAGAAUGAGCCAGGCUUUUCAGCUUUACUGCCUUUUGCUUUUUCUUAAAGGAUCCAGAUCCAGCAUGGAUGGUGCCCCUGGAAAGGUCUUUGCUCUUCUUCAGGUUGUGUUCAUCAUGUUUGUACCAUUCUUGCACCGUCAGUGCCACUGAGUGAGGAUGUCACCAGAAAGAGCAAAUGCUACUCCUGGCACAAACAUAUAAAAACAUUUCACUGUCUCCACUGUACCAUCCCUUCCAAGGCAGAACAUUUGAGGCACUUUGUCUUUUCCCCCGUGUCCAGCAGUGGCUACUGAAAAUUCAAGACAUUGGUUUGGGUAGCUCUGGAGCAUUAUGGCUGCUGCUGUGCUUUUAUUCCCUUCCAUCACUAUGCAUUUAAGUGUUGUAUCACUUUCAGCACUAUCAAUUCCUUCAUCAUGCAAUAAACUCCACUGCCUUGCAUUUGUGCUGUCUUCAGAUGUUUUCACUUGUGGAGUUGUAUGAGACAACUGGUGCAUGGACUGAGCUGGAUCUGCAUGCAGUGUGCUACUCACCAGUUGUCACAUCUUCACCUCUGAGUCUCAUCAUAUUAGACUCAUCUCUGUCUUGAGCAGUUCUCUUUUUCCCACUGCUGACUGCAGAAGUUUUGUGUAUUGCUAAUCCUUUUCAUUCUUGUCUCUGGCUCACUUUGCUGCUGCUGAUGUAUGAUGUGAAAUGGCAGGCUAAUAACGCUCUACAAUCUUUCAAGUGGGAGUACAAUAAUUUUAUAAAAAAGCUCCGCAUUUUUGUCAGUUUUCA